rnacentral:rRNA from 1 species
GUCGAACGCGUCUUGGUUAUUGAUGUUAAGUGCUUGCAUUUAACUGAUUUCCAUUGAGACGAGUGGCGAACUGGUGAGUAACACGUGGGUAACCUGCCCUUGAAGUAGGGGAUAACACUUGGAAACAGGUGCUAAUACCGUAUAACAACCAAAACCACCUGGUUUUGGUUUAAAAGAUGGCUUCGGCUAUCACUUUAGGAUGGACCCGCGGCGUAUUAGCUUGUUGGUAAGGUAACGGCCUACCAAGGCAAUGAUACGUAGCCGACCUGAGAGGGUAAUCGGCCACAUUGGGACUGAGACACGGCCCAAACUCCUACGGGAGGCAGCAGUAGGGAAUCUUCCACAAUGGACGAAAGUCUGAUGGAGCAACGCCGCGUGAGUGAUGAAGGGUUUCGGCUCGUAAAACUCUGUUGUUGGAGAAGAACAGGUGUGAGAGUAACUGUUCACAUCUUGACGGUAUCCAACCAGAAAGCCACGGCUAACUACGUGCCAGCAGCCGCGGUAAUACGUAGGUGGCAAGCGUUGUCCGGAUUUAUUGGGCGUAAAGCGAGCGCAGGCGGUUUCUUAGGUCUGAUGUGAAAGCCUUCGGCUUAACCGGAGAAGUGCAUCGGAAACCAGGAGACUUGAGUGCAGAAGAGGACAGUGGAACUCCAUGUGUAGCGGUGAAAUGCGUAGAUAUAUGGAAGAACACCAGUGGCGAAGGCGGCUGUCUGGUCUGUAACUGACGCUGAGGCUCGAAAGCAUGGGUAGCGAACAGGAUUAGAUACCCUGGUAGUCCAUGCCGUAAACGAUGAGUGCUAAGUGUUGGAGGGUUUCCGCCCUUCAGUGCUGC